CCUACGGGGGGCAGCAGUAGGGAAUAUUGCGCAAUGGGGGAAACCCUGAAGCAGCAACGCCGCGUGGAGGAUGAAGGUUUUCGGAUUGUAAACUCCUUUUGUUAGAGACGAUAAUGACGGUAUCUAACGAAUAAGAACCGGCUAACUCCGUGCCAGCAGCCGCGGUAAUACGGAGGGUGCAAGAGUUACUCGGAAUCACUGGGCGUAAAGAGCGCGGAGGCGGGAUAGCAAGUCAGAUGUGAAAUACUAUGGCUUAACCAUAGAACUGCAUUUGAAACUGUUGUUCUAGAGUAUGGGAGAGGUAGGUGGAAUUCUUGGUGUAGGGGUAAAAUGCGUAGAGAUUAAGAGGAAUACUCAUGGCGAAGGCGAUCUGCUAGAACAUAACUGACGCUGAUGCGCGAAAGCGUGGGGAGCAAACAGGAUUAGAUACCCCAGUAGUC
rnacentral:rRNA from 1 species